AUACAGAUUUUGAUAAAGUUAAAGCUAUCUAGAAAUACAAAAACAUCUUACAUAUUGAAACAUAAAAUUUCUUCUAAACAUCUUAUAUUCUGGAACGGAGGGAGUAUUAUUUACUGAAAAUUUUAAUUUUCUUUUAUUUCCUUUAGUUACUGGUCAAAUAAAGUAAAAUACAUACAUAAAUUUACUAUAUCUCAAACAAUAGUAAAUAUAAUUAUCAUCUCUCCCAUUUUUAUUUUCCUUUAGUUUGCGAUUAUAUAUUAAUUAAAAUUUCCACCAUACAUGUCACAUGUUUACGUACAGAUUUCCAAUGUAUUUGUGAAAAAUGCUUUAAGAUAAGGAUCAUUUAAGUUUCUAUGUAAAGAAUAAAAAUGAACAUAUAUUAAAAACCAUUUUAGCCUUUCCUUUUCCUCCCCUGAAGCUUCAAUCAACCCUUUUGUUACCCCUCAUUUCUCUCGCAGACCUCCACUAAAACGUUUCCGUUCCUUACCCCCAUCUUCAGCUUCAAACACUAACCCUUUUUCCAUUGUUCUUUCAUUACCCCUCUCAAAUUCUUUUAUGC
rnacentral:lncRNA from 1 species